UAGAAGGUGACGUUCUCGCGACCUUUCGCAACGUUCCCUAAAAGUUCUCUAAAGAGGAUGAAAAGACCUGAACCUUUAGAGAACAUUAGGUACAUUCCUAAAACGUCCUUUGUUGGUUAUAAAAGUCUUGCAGUUCAAGGUUCCUCAUGUGACUUUAGGGGGACGCCCGAGACAUUUAAAGAACAUUCCCACAUGGUACUAUUUUGGUCAAAUAAAAACGUUCCCGAUAUGACUGUAGGAAGACGUUCCAUAUUGGUUAUCCUGUGGUCACAUAAGAACGUUACAGAGAGGACACCUGAGACAUUAACAGAACAUUCCCACAUGGUACUAUUUUGGUUAUAUCAUAACGUUCCUGAUAUGACUGUAGGAAGACGUUCCAUAUUGGUUAUCCUGUGGUCACAUAAGAACGUUACAGAGAGGACACCUGAGACAUUAACAGAACAUUCCCACAUGGUACUAUUUUGGUUAUAUCAUAACGUUCCUGAUAUGACUGUAGGAAGACGUUCCAUAUUGGUUAUCCUGUGGUCACAUAAGAACGUUACAGAAAGGACAUUUGGAACAUUAACAGAACAUUCCCACAUGGUACUAUUUUGGUCAGAUAAAAACGUUCCCUGAUAUGACUGUAGGAAGACGUUCCAUAUUGGUUAUCCUGUGGUCACAUAAGAACGUUACAGAGAGGACAUUUGGAACAUUAACAGAACAUUCCCACAUGGUACUAUUUUGGUCAGAUAAAAACGUUCCCGAAAUGACUGUAGGAAGACGUUCCAUAUUGGUUAUCCUGUGGUCACAUAAGAACGUUACAGAGAGGACAUUUGGAACAUUAACAGAACAUUCCCACAUGGUACUAUUUUGGUCAUAUCAUAACAUUCCUGAUAUGACUGUAGGAAGACGUUCCAUAUUGGUUAUCCUGUGGUCACAUAAGAACGUUACAGAGAGGACACCUGAGACAUUAACAGAACAUUCCCACAUGGUACUAUUUUGGUUAUAUCAUAACGUUCCUGAUAUGACUGUAGGAAGACGUUCCAUAUUGGUUAUCCUGUGGUCACAUAAGAACGUUACAGAUAGGACACCUGAGACAUUAACAGAACAUUCCCACAUUGUAUUACUUUGGUCAUAUCAUAACGUUCCUGAUAUGACUGUAGGAUGACGUUCCAUAUUGGUUAUCCUGUGGUCACAUAAGAACGUUACAGAAAGGACUUUUGGAACAUUUACAGAACCAUCUUACAUGGUCCUCUGUUGGUCAUAUAAUAAUGUUCCUGAUAUGACUUUAGAUGGACGUCCCAUAUUGGUUAUUAUGUGGUCACAUGGCAACGUUACAAAGAGGACAUUUGGAACAUUAAUAGAAUGUUCUCACAUGGUCCUCUGUUGGUCAUUUAAUAUUGUUCCUGAUAUCACUAGGAGGACAAAAUAUGAAAUUACGGUUAGAGCAUUUUAUUUUUAUAGGCAGUUAAUACAAAGGAUGUGUCAAUGUGCAGUGGACCAUACAAACAAAGUAAUAAAUAAAUGAUUUCAGAAUGAAGGAAUAUAAAUGAGUGAUUCAGUCUGCACUAUCGUACAUCAGACAAAGACAAAUAGUAAUUAAAUAACACUUUACAUUAAAUUGUGUUAACAAUCACAAAAAAAACUAGUAAAUAAUACUAUACUUAUAUGUAUUAUGUUGUACUCUCUGAAUAUGAUGAUGUAGACUGCAAUGCACCUUGGAAACAGUAGUCAGUUAACAGCAACAGCGUUCAAUACGCUCUAUGAAAAGAACUACCUUUCCCAUAAUGCUACAGCUUACAAGAGGACCCGGAAGUCACAUGAAAUUCAAACUGCCACACUUGACGACGCGUGAUCUUUGUUUUGUCUUUAUAUAAUACUGUAAGAAGUCAUGUACCACACAUUGUCAAACCUGAAGAAGUGUAUCUUCCUGCAAUCUGGGCUCCAGACCUGGAGAUUGAAGUUCCUAAAAGUUGAUGUUUAUCAAGCUUGUGACCUUAUUGCAUGGUGUUAUUUUUUACAUUUAUAUAUCUAAUACACAUUUGCACAUCUGUAAACAUAAAUUUAAUAUUUUGUAGGUUAUUUUUUUAUUUUAUUUAACCAGUUGUUGUAUAUUGAAAUCUGUUAUUACAUUUUAUGCACUCCAACUGUAAAUGUUUUGUUUUAAUUGCAUCUUUAUUGUUUUAAACUAUUUAAUUAA